rnacentral:rRNA from 1 species
UACGUAGGGCGCAAGCGUUGUCCGGAAUUAUUGGGCGUAAAGAGCUCGUGGGCGGUUUGUCGCGUCUGCUGUGAAAUCCCGAGGCUCAACCUCGGGCUUGCAGUGGGUACGGGCAGACUAGAGUGUGGUAGGGGAGACUGGAAUUCCUGGUGUAGCGGUGGAAUGCGCAGAUAUCAGGAGGAACACCGAUGGCGAAAGCAGGUUUCUGGGCCAUCACUGACGCUGAGCUGCGAAAGCUAGGGGAGCAAACAGG